GACCAGUUAGCUCAGUUGGUUGAGUGUGGUGCUGAUAACAGUGAGGUUGUGGGUUGGAUUCCCAUUUGGUCU
rnacentral:tRNA from 1 species